UGCUGGGUAGCGAUGUAGGGAAGGGAUAAACGCUGAAAGCAUCUAAGUGUGAAGCCCACCUCAAGAUGAGAUUUCCCAUUUCUUUAAGAAAGUAAGAUCCCUGAGAGAUGAUCAGGUAGAUAGGUCAGGAGKGGAAGUACAGUGAUGUAUGGAGCGGACUGAUACUAAUCGAUCGAGGACUUAACCAAU
rnacentral:rRNA from 1 species